UACGUAGGGUGCAAGCGUUGUCCGGAAUUAUUGGGCGUAAAGAGCUCGUAGGCGGUCUGUCGCGUCGGAUGUGAAAAUCCAGGGCUCAACCCUGGACCUGCAUUCGAUACGGGCAGACUAGAGUUCGGCAGGGGAGACUGGAAUUCCUGGUGUAGCGGUGAAAUGCGCAGAUAUCAGGAGGAACACCCGUAGCGAAGGCGGCACUCUGGGCCGAUACUGACACUGAGGAGCGAAAGCGUGGGGAGCGAACAGG
rnacentral:rRNA from 1 species